AGAUUGACGCUGGCGGCAGGCUUAACACAUGCAAGUCGAGCGGGGGAGGUUGCUUCGGUAACUGACCUAGCGGCGGACGGGUGAGUAAUACUUAGGAAUCUGCCUAUUAAUGGGGGACAACAUCUCGAAAGGGAUGCUAAUACCGCAUACGCCCUACGGGGGAAAGCAGGGGAUCACUUGUGACCUUGCGUUAAUAGAUGAGCCUAAGUCGGAUUAGCUAGUUGGUGGGGUAAAGGCCUACCAAGGCGACGAUCUGUAGCGGGUCUGAGAGGAUGAUCCGCCACACUGGGACUGAGACACGGCCCAGACUCCUACGGGAGGCAGCAGUGGGGAAUAUUGGACAAUGGGGGGAACCCUGAUCCAGCCAUGCCGCGUGUGUGAAGAAGGCCUUAUGGUUGUAAAGCACUUUAAGCGAGGAGGAGGCUCUUUUGGUUAAUACCCAAGAUGAGUGGACGUUACUCGCAGAAUAAGCACCGGCUAACUCUGUGCCAGCCGCCGCGGUAAU
rnacentral:rRNA from 1 species